AAAAAAAAAGUGGAUUUUCAAUUUUUAUCAGUUUGUAUGGUACCAGUGAAUGACCAUUACGGUUAAAUGCUUGAUGACAAGUCAUUUUACUAUCCGACCAGUUCAGUGCAGAGGAUGAAAUUGCUGACGAUAUGUGUUUUUCCAUCGCAAAGAGGUAUUCGUGUACCCAGACGAUGACAACAAACAUGAAGAUGGAGAAGGUAUCGAUAAGAAAGCUGAGAUCACUUUGAACUGUGUUUGGCCAAGAGAUAAAUCUGUUUGAACUCUGGUUAAGAGUCCUGAGAAGUUGAAGGCAAUGAGAUGACAAGACAAGAUAAGAAGAGAUUUUUCUUAAAGUCAGUGCCAUGUUUAUUGACUACAGACCUGAGGUGAAACAUUUCUCAAGGUGUGGUCUAGUUGAUGACUCGGAUGAGGAAGAUAUACCGGACACCAGAACAGGACAAGACAAGAAACGUUUGCAUCUGGCACAGCAGCAACAGAUGGCGGACAGACAGUUCAAUGUUUGCAAAGAAACAAGGGCCGCCGACUGGAUCACCAUUACUGAGACGACUGGAUCACCAUUACUGAGACAGGGAGACGGGCCCAGUCUGUUCAGUUCUAGUCUGAAAUCUAAAUAUAUGUCACCUGUCAAAAUUGCUAAUAUACCACAGAAAGAGACAACAAAAGACAGAGGCCUAUUCUCACCUUGUCAAAUCAGACCAGAGCCAAUCAGAGCCACAAAAUCCCUUUAGACCUUCCAUCCUCCAGUGAAGGAAUAUGUGUUGCUGGAGAAUGGCAUGACUCAACAAGAAUACCAGCUAAGGGUCUCGGGCUUAAGGGUACAAAAGGUCAUCCCCAUGGUAACUGAGAGUUUUAUGUACAACAAGCAGACACUAUUGGUUGAUGCAGGAUUGUUUAUGGGAAGAUCCGUGUGGGCUGAGGACCAGUUUGGCUCAUUGUGGAGAUAUUGUACAACCAAACGAUAUAGAGGUGGAGAAGCCUACAAACACAUUCAGUUUGUUCACUGGAGGUCAGAAAUGCAGUACAAAACAUGCAGAAACUAGCUGGAAUGUGCACCUACAGAAAAUCAACAUUGCCGACCAUAUACAGUCUGCAGAUAAAACUAUCAUACAAAAUCAUCGUGAGAUGUUAGAGAUCCAGUUGGUUCAUUCGAGAAGCACAAUGAAAGGGAACUGCCCUGUAUUUACACCAUCAGUGGGUGUGGAGGCACUGCAUCAAUACAGAUGAACUCGAAAUGCACGUAUUAGGUUCCCACCCAGACGAAGCAAGUGUCAAACAUAUGGGUAUGGUAUGGGAUUUUUGUGUUGCUCUGUGGGGAAAUAUGCCAGAGUUUAAAGAUAUGGCUUGAUGAAUUGAUGGCUCCACAAGGGUUCAUGACUGCACCAGUUGGUUGUUGGGGAAAUGGACUAAAGAGUGAUUCAGCUACUCUUAAAUCUUUUAUCACAAUGAGCUACAGUAAGAUAGAUUAAACUUGAAAUUAUAAUAUAAGACUUUUGGCUGUAAGGGCCAAGGUCACAGCUCUUUGGAAUUCUAUUUUUAGAACAUUCAAAAUGGCCGCCAUUAAAACAAAUAGCUA